GUUAAGGCACUUCGAUUUCACUGAAUCCACUACACAACAUUUAUUUUUACUUUUAUCUGUAAUGACUAUAAAUACACUAUAUCGGAGAGUGCUUCAUUCUUAUUUACGGGUUUAUAAUGCGAUAAAAACAAUCUCACAUACACGGGAUUCGAUUCGAAACUUGUCGCAUAACUCAAAUAGUUUUUCUUCGAUCUAACCACUUUCACAAACAUCAUUCAAUUAACGUUAACAUAAACACUCUACUUGAAAUUCACCUCGCGUCAAACUACACUAUUGUAUAUCAUAUAAGCGACGUCAUGGGAAGGUUGGAAUUAGAUAAAAUACUAUCAGAUGUUCAUGUUUUAAUUUAUGUUUUUUUUUGAUUUCGGAAAUGUUGAAUAUGAAAAUUGAUAAAAAGCAGUUGGAAUUAUAUCGAUUGUCGUACAUUUAUAGGUUAAUUUCGUCAAAAUUAAAUUUAUUAUGAUCCAAAAUAUUGCUAUUGAAAAACACUAUGAAAACCUCCCAAUAUAAUAAUUAAUUCAAGUGAUAUAUGCAUUUUUUAAAAUAUGUGUAUAUAACCGUAAUAAAUAACAUAUUGUGCAUAAUUCAACGAAUAUUGAGAUAGAACUUCGAAAGGUGACGUAACGCGUUUUUGUAGGUUUGUUUUUGCUGCUUCUUGGAGUGUACAGUACUUCUGUAGUGGAUAUCAUAUAUCGCGAGAAAUUAAAAGCACAUUCAAUUUCUUUUUUUUAAGAAAUGAUUAUACCUGUAAUUAAGUUGUUCGUAGUAACAAAACGCAGAUUCGAAAUUUUACCACCCUGUCCGUGAGUUCAGCACUAGUAGCUAAUUUAUAACCUGUAAUAUCUGUAUUAUGUGUCUGUGGAUAUGCAGUAUCUGUUGCUUCAUUUUAUAACUUUAAUUUAUCUGUGGUUUGUUUGUCGUGAGUGAUUACUUACUCGCUCCGCUCUUAGUACAAAAUUUGAAUGUUUUGUUCAAUACAGUUUACAAAAUGUGUGAAUACAGUUAAAGUGCAUAAAGAUAUUUAAAAACGGUCACUAUUCAGUAAUUCAAAAAAAAACAAGCUGUGACAACUGUAAACUGGUUUGUUUACUACAGUUUAGGAUUCAAAAAAAAUGAUGAGAAGUAUGUGCCCUCUUCACAAAUGGUGGCCAGCUGGUCUAGACUUGAAGGUUCAUAUAGCACUAAUGGUAACAGGCAUUUCGUAUUAAAUUGGUGCGAGUUUUCAAGAAACUUAAUUAUAUUUUAUGGUCGUUAGAGCCACAUCAAUAGAAAAAUAAGGAUAAGCAAUUUGAUAAGUUAAUGGAAGUACAAGUGUCCAAGGGACAUAUGGAAUCGCUUGAGUAAGACGUUGGAGCAUAAAAUAAGAGACAUAUUGUAUAACUUAAUAUAUGGUUAACAGAUCUUAAAUGGUUCCCAAUAGGAGUGGCGAGAUAAUUUGUGGGUAUUCCCAGUCUGUUAUUCAUAAUAAGACCUUCUAGACCGUUAACCUUGAAUUCUGUUGGGCGGUCUGCAGAGGGUGUAGACUAAUUUUUGUCAAGCAACUAGCUUUCGAGUUCUGUUUUUUCUAACAAUUAUCAAUGUCCUUGGCUUAUUACACCUAUUAAUUUUUUUUUACUUGUUCAAAACUAAUUCUUUUUCAGAAAAUUUGUCAGUGUCUAUGGAAGUCAUUAACGGCAUUAAAAUUUUAAUUUUGUUUUUUGGAAGAAUUAUACGAAUAGUUGAAUUUGCUGGUAAAUUUAAGUGAAAGAAUUGAUCUUUAAUGUUCCAUGUUACGUACUCGUCCACUACAUGGACCGUGAAGCCAACUAUAUUCUGAUAUGACAUCGAAGCUAAAGUUUGGCGGGUGUGCUGAUUUUGUUCUUAUUUGGAAGGUCUGUUAACUUACGACAAUCUCGAGAUUUCAAGAAUUCUAAGGUUCCAGAAUGCAGGUUUAAUAUAUAAUGCGAGAGUCUAGUGGCCGUAAGUUAUCGGAAAAGUGACAAUAAAAUAUAAAAAUGAAAAGGUAUGUUUAAAAAAUAAAAAGAACAUUACAAGAUUAUAAAA